rnacentral:tRNA from 1 species
GCAGCUGUAGCUCAGUUGGAUAGAGCGCCUGACUGUGGAUCAGGAGGCCGAUGGUUCAAGUCCAUCCAGCUGUA